rnacentral:rRNA from 1 species
UACGUAGGGUGCAAGCGUUAAUCGGAAUUACUGGGCGUAAAGCGUGCGCAGGCGGUUUUGUAAGUCUGUCGUGAAAGUCCCCGGGCUCAACCUGGGAAUUGCGAUGGAGACUGCAAGGCUAGAAUCUGGCAGAGGGGGGUAGAAUUCCACGUGUAGCAGUGAAAUGCGUAGAGAUGUGGAGGAACACCGAUGGCGAAGGCAGCCCCCUGGGUCAAGAUUGACGCUCAUGCACGAAAGGCGUGGGGAGCAAACAG